rnacentral:rRNA from 1 species
UCGCGAAAACUUUGCAAUAAGCGAAAGCUUGACAGGGCUAUCCCGAGUGCCAUCCGCUGAGGAAGGCUUUUACCCAGUCUAGAACGCUGGGGGAAUAAGGAGAGGGCAAGUCUGGUGUCAGCCGCCGCGGUAAUACCAGCUCUCCGAGUGGUGUGGAUGUUUAUUGGGCCUAAAGCAUCCGUAGCUGGCUAGGUCAGUCCCUUGUUAAAUCCACCGAAUUAAUCGUUGGAUUGCGGGGGAUACUGCUUGGCUAGGGGACGAGAGAGGCAGACGGUAUUUUCGGGGUAGGGGUGAAAUCCUAUAAUCCCGGGAAGACCACCAGUGGCGAAGGCUGUCUGCUAGAACGCGCCCGACGGUGAGGGAUGAAAGCUGGGGGAGCGAACCGGAUUAGAUACCCGGGUAGUCCCAGCUGUAAACGAUGCAGACUAGGUGUUUGGACGGCCACGUGCCGUUCUAGUGCCGCAGGGAAGCUGUUAAGUCUGCCGCCUGGGGAGUACGAUCGCAAGAUUGAAACUUAAGGAAUUGGCGGGGG